rnacentral:rRNA from 1 species
GAGUUUGAUCUUGGCUCAGAACGAACGCUGGCGGCAGGCUUAACACAUGCAAGUCGAGCGCCCCGCAAGGGGAGCGGCAGACGGGUGAGUAACGCGUGGGAAUCUACCCAGCUCUACGGAAUAACCCAGGGAAACUUGGACUAAUACCGUAUACGUCCGAUAGGAGAAAGAUUUAUCGGAGUUGGAUGAGCCCGCGUUGGAUUAGCUAGUUGGUGGGGUAAUGGCCUACCAAGGCGACGAUCCAUAGCUGGUCUGAGAGGAUGAUCAGCCACACUGGGACUGAGACACGGCCCAGACUCCUACGGGAGGCAGCAGUGGGGAAUAUUGGACAAUGGGCGCAAGCCUGAUCCAGCCAUGCCGCGUGAGUGAUGAAGGCCCUAGGGUUGUAAAGCUCUUUCACCGGUGAAGAUAAUGACGGUAACCGGAGAAGAAGCCCCGGCUAACUUCGUGCCAGCAGCCGCCGUAAG